UUUAAUUGAAGAGUUUGAUCAUGGCUCAGAUUGAACGCUGGCGGCAGGCCUAACACAUGCAAGUCGAGCGGCAGCACAGAGGAACUUGUUCCUUGGGUGGCGAGCGGCGGACGGGUGAGUAAU
rnacentral:rRNA from 1 species